rnacentral:tRNA from 1 species
GCCCUUAGUGGCUCAGAUGGAUAGAGCACCUGCCAUGUAAGCAGGAGAUCCCAGGUUCGAGUCCUGGUCAGGGCA